CCAGUGUCUCCCCUACAGCUCCCCACCUCGUUUUGUAGUUUUAUUUGACAACAAUUCUUCAGACUUUGUUGAGACGUGAUUUCUACUAAGAACAUUGUGAAUGUCUGUGCCAUCUACAUCAUUCAUGGAGCUGAUCAAUUCUACUAUAGAUUAAUCUACUGCCUUUACUAAGAAUGGUGAACAUGAUUUAGGCCAACAGCAAGGUAAGUGGCAGAAAACAAAAGAAAAAUGCAAAAGGACAGAUUCAGGGUUGAGCUUUGUUUAAGAAUUCCAUCACUUUCCUUAAAUAGACACCAAUCAUUUCCUGUACAGGAGAGGGGUCUGUCAGCUCAUCAGAGGCUCAGAACGGAUAUCAUGAACGAAGUUUCCUCUAGGUUCACUUCCUAUCUCUCAUCAAUUCGAGCUGCUGAAGUCAUGAUCUGUGAGCUCAAAAUGAAAGAUAUUAUUCUCACAGCCUUUGAGGAAACACCCAGGAAGGAGGAAUGCACAGUGUUGUCAGGACCCAUGUUAGGACUCAUCCACAGCUGGCACAGUCUGACUCAUCCCAGGCAAACACCCAGAGUGAAGUUGUAUGAAAGAGACAGCAGUGAUCAAAGGGAAAACGUGUGUUCAUCCUUCAUUCUGUAAACAUCUUAUGAAAAUACGAUUUAAGUGAUGUGUGGUUUCAAGAACAGAAAAUGUGGCAGCCAAAUGUUGAUACUGAGAUGGGAGAUCCUAGGUCUUGAUCAGUACUCAGGAGCCAUGGUGUUCUGAUGCAUUUAUGAUCCUCUGGGAGAAAAAAAAACAGGUAUUUUUAUGAGAAAGAAAGACAACAUUUUAUCUGUAACUGCCUCAGGAAUCUAUGUCCUCUGACAAUGACUCAAAGUAAAAGUUACAAACCCAUACCAGCACAAUAAAAGUUACAAACCCAUACCAGCACAAACAAACUCAGAAGAAACACACCUUCACGGGAGCAUUUAGAUCAAUUCCUCUCUCUUCAAAAUUUCUGAUUUCUCAUAAUAAAAUAUUUUUCUCUAUUUUUUCCAUCCUAA
rnacentral:lncRNA from 1 species